CACCUGCAUGCACAGUGGGCAAAGCUCCGCCAGCUGCCAUCAGGGCACUCAGGCAGGAGAACCGGACGAUCUGAGGGAACUUUCUGCGUUGCCAAGAUGAGGCCCAGCCUUGCACACAGCCUUCAGAUUGCAAACAAGGAAAUGAAGAACAGAAAAAUUUGAGGCAGAGGUGGGCCUUGAAGUGCGCCUUUCUUCCCACUGAGAACCAUACACAGGCCACCGUUUUCAUGGUCUGAGGAUGACAGGAAGUGCUCUGCAUCUCAUUUAUAAGAGGUCUGGGAGUCCCUUUGAAGGAAGUUGGGAAAGACCAUUCUGCUGGGUUGUUCCCCCCCCCCUUCCUUCAGGUGAACAAAGGGUAAAGACUGUCAAGGAACCCUGCCCACUUUGUCACAGCUCUCAAAAGAACCAGAGGAUUCCUAACCUGCUGGGACCU
rnacentral:lncRNA from 1 species